rnacentral:misc_RNA from 1 species
UUUUUUUUCCUAAAAGUAUCUAUGAUUCUGUUAAUUUCCAUGAAACUGCAAGUAUAGCUAUGAACACUCUUCCAAGAUCAAAACUAAUACUAGUCAUAAAUUAAUAAUUACAUUAUAUGCAAGUUUAUGUAUCUGACAUCCAUCUCUAGUCUGACUUGUGCAGAUUAUGAAGGAUGUAUAAAGAAGCAGAUGACAAGAAAAUGCAAACAGAAUAGCUUAGUAAAUCCAUUCCUGUAGCUAUUGUUACCAUCUUGCUCCUCUCAAACAUCUUCACCAGAAGAAUCAUAACAAUAACAUGCCCUACUUUUGUCUUCAGUUCAUCAAGUGAGCUGAUCUUCAUCCAUUUCGGCCUCUCCUUCAAAGCAAACAUUCCAAAUAAGGAAGAGCCUUUCAGAGCUCGGUCGACAUGGGAAGGAACAUCAGGAGGCACAUUGCUGAUAAAUAAUCCGUAUAAGCCCAUGCCAAAGAUUAGCAUCACAGUCCCAGCAAGAUAAACAUCAAUAGCUUCAACUAAGCGCAGAACCAUCUGUCCAGAGUGAAUUCCUUUAACACAGCUUGUCCAAUAGACUUUAUAUGCAUCAAAAAUGUAAACACAACCCUACAAAAGAUCAGAAGCGGUGGCAGUAUUAAUCUCUGUGUGUGCAUAAUUUCAUACUAAUAUUGAUGUAACUGCAAUUAUUACACUUGAGCUAGAGCUAUAUAUGUUCAUAUUUCAAAGCAGAACCCACCCAAAAGACCAAAACAACACAAGCUUUGUAUCAAAUUUCAGCAGCUACCUGCUUCAAAAAAACAUCUCAUUGUGGUAGAGAAAGCAAUAUAAAUAACUAUGGAAAAUCCAAUUCUAAUGGAGGUAUCACAUUGAACUUCAAAACCCUAUCCUCCAACCUUCAGAAAUGGAAGAAAACCAAUAAACUCCUUUGGAUAAACCUCUACCAUCAUUAUUAAUUAAUGUAAAUUCCAAUUCUAUAUGACUACAUACAAGCUGUUGAUAGAUGCUGGGUAGAAGAAAGUACAUUUAAGAAGCACAAAAGUGAACCAGCCAAUGAGCCUCCAAUAGCCAGAAGUGCCAAGAAACGGAAAUCAAAGAUUAGCUGCCAACAAUGAACAUGAAAAGUGCCCCGUUAUCACACUUGACCAUGCAUACAAAACUUAAAAAGAAAGAAAAAAAAAAGAAUAGAAAUUGGGAUGAUAUAUGUAGAAUCAAUGCACAAAAUAUAUGUUAUGAUGUAGCUUGUAUGUGGAUAUAAUUUUAUGCACUCAAAUUAUGAUUUGACUCGAAAAGCCCGCAAUGCAAUCCGAAUUGAAUAUUUUAUGAGAUUUUUUUAUGGUAUUGGUAGCAGAACGAAUGAGUACAAAUAUUGUAAAUUUUAUUCUGAAAUUAAAAUUUGAAGAGUUCAUAUAGAUUAUAAUUUGUUCUUUACCAUAAGCAUAGAUAUUUUCCACUUGUAUAUUGCCCAUAAAUAUAGAUUUUAUUGCAGAAUCAAGAAAAAUUUAUGUGUUAAUUUUUCUUCAACAAUAUAGAAUAUAUACUCUAAUGAUUCGAAUGGUAAUAAUGAAGAUCUUUGAGGCCAAAAGGUAGGCCUCUCUGCCAAACUUGAACAGACCAGUACUUUGGUCUUUCAUAUCCUUAGGCCUAAAAUGGUUCAAAAUUCGCAAAAUUUCUCCAUCACAUAUUUUUAACCUAUCAAUAAAGCUACUACUUCUUCUUUGGCCUCUCUGUAUUUGAAGAACUCAAAACAGAAACUUUUCACCUCCAACAAUAUGAGAGGAUAAACAAAAUUUUUGGAAGAUCAAUUCCACUAAAAGAAGAAUAAAAGAAAUAUAAAGAAUUAAAUACCCAUAAAAUUUCAGUAACAGUAAGCAAGAAAGGGAAGGAAUUAGUACCCUCUCAAUGUUAGAUUCAGUAGAGAGAACAAACCGCACAAAUGGGCUGCUACCUGUUGGGUUAGCACGUGCAUAGUUGAAGCUGGAAUCAUGGGGUCUAGAGGAUUCAACAAACGGUGUAGAUGGGUUCUUGGAGGAAUCAUGGGUUCUAGUUGAAGCUGAAGCAGAUGCUGAUUCAGGGGAAGAUGAUGAACUUAGAGUAGCUAAGGGACACAACAAACGGCGCGAAAUCAUUAUCGGCCUGCGAAUUGGGGUUGGUAUAGAGAGCGUAGAAGCGGAGAUAGAAGCAAAGAAAGCCAUAGCAGACAACAGAAAGCUGAAUCUACUCAGCAAGUUUGAUUUGAUUUCUCACAGAUGAAACAUGAGCAAGAAAUGAAGUGGGAUUCAGCAGAGAUAGACCAUUAAAAACAAGAUGGGAUUUUUUAAUUUUUUUUCUA